rnacentral:lncRNA from 1 species
AUUGACUAGCUUGAGUCCGACCGGAGAGCAUCAAGGCCCGCAGAGCCCGCGCUAAGUCUCGGCGGCGGCGCCCAGGGCUGAGCCGUGGUAGCCCUGGUGUUUAGAGGGUGUCUUCCUCUAGAAAGAGAAAAGUUUGGCAGUGAUUUGAUUUCAACUGGGGAUAGGAUGUAAAGCCAGGCGUGGGGAAUCACCGUAUACUUUGCAGAGAGAGGCAGCUGCGGUCUUCCUGGUGCCUUCUAGUCCACACACCAACCCACGUCGUCAGCUUACACACAGACACACACAGACACACACACACACACACACACACACACAAACACUGGGCCAAGGGAGUUGCGGAUUUUCUGACUCCUUGUGCACUCAUCUGGAGGUGCGGAGUGGGUGCGUGCGCGCGCAUGCGUGCGCGCGCCCGAGAGAGAGCGAGAGAGAGAGAGAGAGAGAGAGAGAGAGAGAGAGAGAGAGAGAGAGAGAGAGAGAGCGUGUGUGUGUGUGUGUGUGUGUGUGUGUGUGUGGUGUAUGUACGCGUUUUCUCACGGUGGGAUGUUUAUUUCGGUGAACGCCAGGAAAGUGCAGUGUUAGAGAUCUGUCUGUGCUAGCUAGCUCGGGAGCAAACACGCCGCAAGCAACUGUAAUCAAUAUGUAACUUUCUUCAUCCUCAGAGAAAUCCCCGCUGUCCCCAGGCACCCAUGCAAGGAAAGUCACUUGAUUAUGAAAGUGUUUCAGAAGAAAAGCAGACGCCGGUGGAGAGAGAGGCAGUGUCUCGAAGGAGGGAACAAGCCUCUCUUAAGACAUGUUUUGCAGCUCCAUGAAACUGAAAUCUGGUUGAACAGUGUUUAGACUUCUACCUUUUAACCAUCUCCUAUCACAGCCCACAUUCAAGCUUUAGAAUCUCAAAGCUUGCUUUUGUCUGAACUGCUUUCACAAACAUCCACAAGUUACGAUCAGUUUUGGUUCUGAUCUAGCAGUUCUGGAGCAGAGUUAAGAGGGACAAAGGAAAACAAUCCGUUGAAAUAGAGAAGGCACUGGUUGGGAAAUUCAUGAGAAAGGAAACUGACUCUUAGAAAACAUGCCAGGUUAAAGGGUUCUGACAUUGACAACAGAAGAAAAAAGGUGAGCUGAAGAAGGACAGCAGCAAUAGACAUGCAAAUGCAGAUGGAGGAAAGCCAAGGCUGGCUAAGGACAACAAAAGAAUGUGAGAGGAGAUGAAAUAAUCUUUCACAAGGAAGAGCUCACAAAUUGAUUAUCCAAUACUAACUUGUCAGUCUUUAAAACACAUACAUAGAAAUAACAUCAUACAGACUGUGCACGUUGUGCUAAGCAUUGAAUAAUGUAUGUAUAUGUGUGCAUGCACAUGUGUGUGUGUGUGUGUGUGUGUGUGUGUAGCAAUAUUUAGUGAAAAAAGAAGUCUUGAAUUUGAGAGGAGAACACCAGGAAGAAAGAAAAGAAGUAAAAAUAAUGUUAAUUAAAAUGUGAAAAAUCAAAGAAAGAAAAACAUGUCAGUUAAUAGAAUGAAAUAUGGAGGCAGGAGGGUCACAAACUUAUGAACAUUUUAGAUUGUAUAACAUGACUGCCUAAAAAUCCUAAACCAUAGAAAUCAGCAAUAAAAACUUAAAAAACAAUCAGAUUUUUAGAGAAAAGAGACAAAGAACUUUUAUGACUCUACUACGUCAGCCAUUUGCAACAAAUUCUUCUUUGUGUCCUUUGUCUGGAUUUCUGCCUAAUAUCACUUUUAGCUUUCAGUUUAUGUAUUCUUGUUAUCUCAGUAAUACUCUGUGCAUUUCUUUGUUUCUCCAUAAACUUUCUCAAGCUUCAAAGACUUGUUGUAAUUGACAUUAUUUUCACUCAUGGUUUUAAAAAAUAUUGUUACCUAUUCAACUCUGCAAAGUUCCUUUAGUUGAAAACAUUCUUCCAUGACAAUAAAUCAAUUGGUCAUAUGCUUUUGCUCGCGUUGGGGACCUUGACCUGCUCCUGGGUUGCUUCCUCCGCCCUUAAUAUGAAAGAAGGUGACUAGUCUUACUUCAACUUGAUAUGCCGUGUUUAGUUGAUAGUCCUGGGAGGUUUAGCCUUUUUGGAAGGAAAACAGUGAAGAAUAGAUAGGAAGGGAAGAGGAGGUGGGGUAGGAGUGGGAAGUGGGAGACUGGAUCAACAAGAGGGACGGGAACCUAUAUUUAGGAUUCAAUUAUAUGAGGAUAAAUUAAUAGACAAAACCAAAACAAUCCUCCCAAAAAUCAACAAAAAUUUGACUGGUCAUAAAUGGGUGUGAAAGAUAAUCCUUCUGAUUACCUCAUUGAAAUCAACUCUGACGAAGGCUGUUCCAUAGGGUACAGAUUGUAUAUUUUUAUUAUUUUAGUUUUGGACAUUUAUUCCCAACCUUUUUAAUAUAUGGUCAUUAUUUUCAGUGGAUGUAAGUGCUUCAAUAAAGCAAGAGAUGUUUAACAUA